GCAUAUCAAUAAGCGGAGGAAAAGAAACCAACAGGGAUUGCCUUAGUAACGGCGAGUGAAGCGGCAAAAGCUCAAAUUUGAAAUCUGGCACCUUCGGUGUCCGAGUUGUAAUUUGAAGAAGGUAACUUUGGAGUCAGCUCUUGUCUAUGUUCCUUGGAACAGGACGUCACAGAGGGUGAGAAUCCCGUGCGAUGAGAUGUCUGAUUCUAUGUAAAGUGCUUUCGAAGAGUCGAGUUGUUUGGGAAUGCAGCUCUAAGUGGGUGGUAAAUUCCAUCUAAAGCUAAAUAUUGGCGAGAGACCGAUAGCGAACAAGUACAGUGAUGGAAAGAUGAAAAGAACUUUGAAAAGAGAGUGAAAAAGUACGUGAAAUUGUUGAAAGGGAAGGGUUUGAGAUCAGACUUGGUAUUUUGUAUGUCUUGCUUUCGGGUGGGGCCUCUACAGUUUACUGGGCCAGCAUCGGUUUGGACGGUAGGAUAAUGACAUUGGAAUGUGGCACCACCUUGGUGGUGUGUUAUAGACUUUGUUGAUACUGCCUGUCUAGACCGAGGACUGCGUCUUUGACUAGGAUGCUGGCAUAAUGAUCUUAAACCGCCCGUCUUGAAACACGGACC
rnacentral:rRNA from 1 species